rnacentral:rRNA from 1 species
AUUGAACGCUGGCGGCAUGCCUUACACAUGCAAGUCGAGCGGUAACAGGUCUUCGGAUGCUGACGAGUGGCGAACGGGUGAGUAAUACAUCGGAACGUGCCUAGUAGUGGGGGAUAACUACUCGAAAGAGUGGCUAAUACCGCAUGAGAUCUACGGAUGAAAGCAGGGGAUCGCAAGACCUUGUGCUACUAGAGCGGCCGAUGGCAGAUUAGGUAGUUGGUGGGAUAAAAGCUUACCAAGCCGACGAUCUGUAGCUGGUCUGAGAGGACGAUCAGCCACACUGGGACUGAGACACGGCCCAGACUCCUACGGGAGGCAGCAGUGGGGAAUUUUGGACAAUGGGCGCAAGCCUGAUCCAGCAAUGCCGCGUGCAGGAUGAAGGCCUUCGGGUUGUAAACUGCUUUUGUACGGAACGAAAAGCCCUGGGUUAAUACCCUGGGGUCAUGACGGUACCGUAAGAAUAAGCACCGGCUAACUACGUGCCAGCCGCCGCAGUAAGAC